rnacentral:rRNA from 1 species
GAUGAACGCUGGCGGCGUGCCUAAUACAUGCAAGUCGAGCGAACAGAUGAGGAGCUUGCUCCUCUGACGUUAGCGGCGGACGGGUGAGUAACACGUGGAUAACCUCCCCAUCAGACUGGGAUAACUUCGGGAAACCGGAGCUAAUACCGGAUAAUAUAUUGCACCGCAUGGUUCAAUAGUGAAAGUCGGUUUUGCUGUCACUUCUAGAUGGAUCGGGGCCGCAUUAGCUAGUCGGUAGGGUAACGGCUUACCAAGGCUACGAUGCGUAGCCGACCGGAGAGGGUGAUCGGCGACACUGGAACGGAGACACGGUCCAGACUCCUACGGGAGGCAGCAGUAGGGAAUCUUCCGCAAUGGGCGAAAGCCUGACAGAGCAACGCGGCGUGAGUGAUGAAGGUCUUCGGAUCGUAAAGCUCUGUUAUGAGGGAAGAACAAAUGUGUAAGUAACUGUGCACGUCUUGACGGUACCUGAUCAGAAAGCCACGGCUAACUACGUG